AGGAGGUAAAAAUGAGA
rnacentral:misc_RNA from 1 species